UACGUAGGGUGCAAGCGUUGUCCGGAAUCAUUGGGCGUACAGAGCGUGUAGGCGGCCAGAUAAGUCCGCUGUGAAAACUCGAGGCUCAACUUCGAGCUGUCGGUGGAAACUAUUUGGCUAGAGUCCGGAAGAGGAGAGUGGAAUUCCUGGUGUAGCGGUGAAAUGCGCAGAUAUCAGGAAGAACACCCGUGGCGAAGGCGGCUCUCUGGUACGGAACUGACGCUGAGACGCGAAAGCGUGGGGAGCGAACAGG
rnacentral:rRNA from 1 species